rnacentral:rRNA from 1 species
UGCGCAGGCGGGCCUUUAAGUCAGUGGUGAAAUCUUGCCGCUUAACGGUAAAAUUGCCAUUGAAACUGAAGGUCUUGAAUAUGGUUGAGGUAGGCGGAAUGUGUUGUGUAGCGGUGAAAUGCAUAGAUAUGACACAGAACGCCGAUUGCGAAGGUAGCUUACUAAGCCAUUAUUGACGCUGAGGCACGAAAGCGUGGGGAGCGAACAGGAUUAGAUACCCUGGUAGUCC